UACGAAGGUCCCAAGCGUUAUCCGGAUUUAUUGGGUUUAAAGGGUGCGUAGGCGGACUGUUAAGUCAGUGGUGAAAGCUCCAUGCCUAACAUGGAAAAUGCCAUUGAUACUGAUAGUCUUGAGUACAUUUGAAGUGGGCGGAAUGUGUCAUGUAGCGGUGAAAUGCUUAGAUAUGACACAGAACACCGAUUGCGUAGGCAGCUCACUAAACUGUAACUGACGCUGAGGCACGAAAGCAUGGGGAGCAAACAGG
rnacentral:rRNA from 1 species